AGUGUAGGUGGCUUUGUAAGUCAGGAGUGAAAGCCCUGGGCCUAACCCAGGAAGUGCUUUUGAUACUGCAAAGCUUGAAUGUGGGAGAGGAUCGUGGAAUUCCAGGUGUAGUGGUGAAAUACGUAGAUAUCUGGAGGAACACCGGUGGCGAAGGCGGCGAUCUGGCCCAACAUUGACACUGAGACUCGAAAGCGCGGGGAUCAAACA
rnacentral:rRNA from 1 species